rnacentral:rRNA from 1 species
UACAGAGGGGGCAAGCGUUAUUCGGAAUUAUUGGGCGUAAAGGGCGCGUAGGCGGCCUGGCAAGUGGAAGGUGAAAUCCCUCGGCUUAACCGAGGAACUGCCUCCCAAACUGCUUGGCUUGAGACCAGGAGAGGUGAGUGGAAUUCCCAGUGUAGCGGUGAAAUGCGUAGAUAUUGGGAGGAACACCUGUGGCGAAGGCGGCCCCCUGGUUGGAUACUGACGCUGAGACGCGAAAGCGUGGGGAGCAGACAGG